rnacentral:lncRNA from 1 species
CGCCCGCGUGCGGGGUUCCCGGGCGCGUCCCGCUGGCCAGUGCUGACUUUGAGACUUUUCUGAUGGUGACUCAUGAUAUGCAUGGAAGCAUAAGAAAUGCUCACACGAAACAUUCAGAAAACUAAACUUACCCUUACGGUAUAUGAUGCUGUGAUGGUUAACACUGAGUGUCAACUUGAUUGGAUUGAAGGAUGUGAAGUAUUUUUCCUGGGUGCGUCUGUGAGGGUGUUGCCAAAGGAGAUUAACAUUUGAGUCAGUGGACUGGGGCAGGCAGACCCACCCUCAAUGUGGGUGGGCACCGUCUAAUCAGCAGCCAACAUGGCUAGAAUAAAACAGGCAGAAGAACAUGGAAGGACUUGACUUGCUGAGUCUUCUGGCCUUCAUCUUUCUUCCAUGCUGGAUGCUUCCUGCCCUCGAACAUGAGACUCCAAGUUCUUCAGCUUUUGGACACUUGGACUUACACCAGUAGUUUGCCAGGGGCUUUUGGGCC